rnacentral:rRNA from 1 species
UACAGAGGGGGCAAGCGUUAUUCGGAAUUACUGGGCGUAAAGCGUGCGCAGGCGGUGAUGUAAGACAGAUGUGAAAUCCCCGGGCUCAACCUGGGAACUGCAUUUGUGACUGCAUCGCUGGAGUACGGCAGAGGGGGAUGGAAUUCCGCGUGUAGCAGUGAAAUGCGUAGAUAUGCGGAGGAACACCGAUGGCGAAGGCAAUCCCCUGGGCCUGCACUGACGCUCAUGCACGAAAGCGUGGGGAGCAAACAGG